AUUUCACCAUAAUAGUCAUCCAGCGCCUCAAGUCUUUUCCCAGAAAUGAACUGUUAGAGUCUACAAAUCAAAAACAUCCGUGUAAGAAUGUACUUUAUCGGUCUACUAUGAGAAAUCAAUUAAGAAGGCGUUCUAAUUUAAUCGGAUAGUGUCUUAAAUAUUUUUAGCAGGAGAGAUAAAUAAAAUGGCAUAAAUAAUAAUGGAAGAAAUUUUGGAGCACCGCCGUGGAGGUGAUGAAGUGUGAUGGCGCGCAUGCACUGGCGUGGCCAGGGAAAUGCUAUGGCAGUAGAGGGAAGAAAAGAGAUGGCACGCUGCGGCAGCUAGACCAACCGCUGCAGCGCACCCGCUAGCGCGGCAAAGAACAGCCAUGGCGGUCGUUGGGUCAGCUCCAUAUUUGAGGUGGCUUUCCAUCUUUCCCAUUCCCAUUUUAGUUCUUCCACCCGAAAAUUUUUCCCUCUUCCCUUUCCAAUAGCCUUUCGCACUCCUUCACACACUAAAAAACCACCCCCUUUCUACUAACUUCAUCCACUCACUACUCACAACAACCCAAGCACACAAAAGAGGCAAGAAACUCUUUGGCAAUGAGGGUUUUCGACUCAAGGCCCCAACUCCUUCAAUCCUUCGAUUCAAGGUAUCACUUUUUCAAGGCAUAGAUCAAUACGUUCAAGUUCCAGACAGUGUCUGAUUUGCCGCAAAGGGGAGUUAUCAGCAUUUUAUGGAGUACAUGCCUAAGAACUUACUGCCGAAGAGAGGCUUUGAUAUGGACAAGGUGGAUAUUCGUGGCCUGAAAUUCUAUAACCGACUAUAUGCUAUGAAGUGGGGCAAACUAGUAAAGGGUCCCGGAGAGGAGAAUGAGACUUUGGUGCGAGAGUUUUACGCCAUAUCGAAGACGAUUUAUUUUUCUUCUCCUUAUCUGGAGAUUGUGAUUAGGGGAGUGAUAGUGAAAAUUGGGCCUGAGGUUAUCAAUGAUCAUUAUGAUUUGGAGAACCACCUAGUGUCUGAGAUGGAGGCUAGGGAUAUGGAGGGAAAUAGGGCUUGGUUGGUUUCCAAGCUUUUGCUGGCGGAGAAAAACAGCAAGGUGCAUUGGACCAACAAAAAUAAUGGAAUCACUAACCAUCACUUCACUGCUGAGGCGAGGAGGUGGCUAAAUCUGAUAUCCCGAUAAGGGCGCCCCUUUAGAAACACCUUUUCUAUCACAUAUGUACGAGUUCUUAUAGUUUCCUGUAUUCUGGAUGAUGUCCUGGUGAACGUGGGUCAUCACAUAUCUCAGGAGUGGAGGGAGUUCGUAUCUGAGGUAGGAGGAGGUAUGAGUUUGAUAUUCCCCUCGAUUAUCACUGCCUUGUGGGCAAAGGCUAAUGUUCCACAGAGGAGGGGGGGGGGUGAGUCGGUGGAUUUGGAUGUCUUGUUUCAUCUACUAUUGGUGAGGGGUCAUGGUUUGCUUGUUCAGCAUAAGAGGAGGGGACCGGAGGUCAUUGCUGGGGCUAGUGGGAACUAGGCAGAUGAUUCUGGAGCACCCUCAGUUCAGGGGUCAUUCCAAGUGUUGGGUGUCAAGGUAGAUGAGGUGAAGACACUGCUGAUUAGUGGUUCCGGGCUUAGCCGUUCUGGCACUACUACUGGCUAUUGCACCCGGGAGGAGAUGGAGCGGUAUAUAAAGGCCCAGGGGAAGAUGAAAACCCAGGUGGAUGAUCUUUAGGUUAUGUACACUACUAUGGUCAAGGACCAUGGGGAUCGUCUUACUAAGCUUCACGAGGGUCUGGACAAGGAGAAGAAUAGGGGUAAGGCAAGGGGCAAUCUUGCGAUUAGAGUGUGGAGGGCUUCAAGGGCUUGUUCUAGAUGAUGCAGCCGGGUGCGAUGCUUCCAGUUGAGGAUAGAGAUGACCUUGAGCACUACUCCUUCCUGGACGAGACCGUGGAUGGCGCUGAUAGUGGAGGAGUUGGCGGCUCAGAUGAUGAUAACAAUGAGGCAACUAGCAGGAUGGAAGAGUAGGGGUGUGUUUUCCCCCUUUUCAUGAUAAUGAUGUUACCCUUUUAGGGCUUUGUGCUUCAGACAUUUGUUUCAUUUGGUUUUCCGGGAUGUUUAGACAUUUGCUUUCCUUGCUUUUUCUUAUUUUGUUUUGGUGGUUUGGAUGAUUGGAUAACUUUUGCUUGUGUUGGGCUUUAUGUUUUAUCAGAUGGCUCUGUUUUGGAAAUU